AGUGAACGCUGGCGGUAGGCCUAACACAUGCAAGUCGAACGGCAGCACAGUAAGAGCUUGCUCUUACGGGUGGCGAGUGGCGGACGGGUGAGGAAUACAUCGGAAUCUACUUUUUCGUGGGGGAUAACGUAGGGAAACUUACGCUAAUACCGCAUACGACCUACGGGUGAAAGCAGGGGAUCUUCGGACCUUGCGCGAUUGAAUGAGCCGAUGUCGGAUUAGCUAGUUGGCGGGUUAAAGGCCCACCAAGGCGACGAUCCGUAGCUGGUCUGAGAGGAUGAUCAGCCACACUGGAACUGAGACACGGUCCAGACUCCUACGGGAGGCAGCAGUGGGGAAUAUUGGACAAUGGGCGCAAGCCUGAUCCAGCCAUACCGCGUGGGUGAAGAAGGCCUUCGGGCUGUAAAGCCCUUUUGUUGGGAAAAAAAAGCAGCAGGUUAAUACCCCGCUGUUCUGACGGUACCCAAAGAAUAAGCACCGGCUAACUUCGUG
rnacentral:rRNA from 1 species